GUCAAGACUAGCUCAGUUAGUUAGAGCAUGAUGCUAAUAAUGCCAAGGUUGCCGGUUCGAUCCUUGUAUGUGACA